CAGUCGCCGCGGGAAUACGGAGGGUGCAAGCGUUAAUCGGAAUUACUGGGCGUAAAGCGCACGCAGGCGGUCUGACAAGUCAGAUGUGAAAUCCCCGGGCUUAACCUGGGAACUGCAUUUGAAACUGUCAGGCUGGAGUCUUGUAGAGGGGGGUGGAAUUCCAGGUGUAGCGGUGAAAUGCGUAGAGAUCUGGAGGAAUACCGGUGGCGAAGGCGGCCCCCUGGACAAAGACUGACGCUCAGGUGCGAAAGCGUGGGGAGCAAACAGGAUUAGAGACCCGAGUAGUCCCUGUCUCUUAUAC
rnacentral:rRNA from 1 species